ACAGCUGAUUGCUCAUUUAAUACAUGUAUACAUAUAUGAACAUGUAGUAUAUAUAUAUAUAAAUUUAUAUUGCUACAUAAGUGCUACAUUCUUUGCUGUAUAAUAUUUCAUCUUCAUCUUGUAAAUAUGUACCUAUAUUUUAUUCAUUGGAAUCAGGUCAUCAUGAUAAUAUGAUGUCAAAUUUAAUUUCACUCCAUUAAAGACAGCAUUUAAA